AUUGAACGCUGGCGGCAUGCCUUACACAUGCAAGUCGAACGGCAGCACGGGAGCAAUCCUGGUGGCGAGUGGCGAACGGGUGAGUAAAGUAUCGGAACGUGCCCAGUAGUGGGGGAUAACGUAGCGAAAGUUACGCUAAUACCGCAUACGAUCUAUGGAUGAAAGAGGGGGAUCGCAAGACCUCGCGCGAUUGGAGCGGCCGAUAUCAGAUUAGGUAGUUGGUGGGGUCAAGGCUCACAAAGCCGACGAUCUGUAGCUGGUCUGAGAGGACGACCGGCGUCACUGGAACUGAGACACGGCCGAAAGUCCUACGAGGGGGAACAGUGGGGAAUUUUGGACUAUGGUCGAAAGCCUGUUCGAGCGAUGCCGCGUGCAGAAUGAAGGCUUUCGGGUUGUGAACUGCGUGCUUACGUAAGGAAAAGGUUGGGCCUAUUAAGCGUAGCUCUUGACGGUACCGUAAGAAUAGGCACCGGCUAACUACGGGCCAGCAGCCGCCGCAG
rnacentral:rRNA from 1 species